UUAUUUUAUUUUUUUCUCCGAUGGCUUUCGGUUAGAAUAAGGAAAUUAUCGAUUCAGUAAGCCAAAGAGUGAUUUGUGAUUUAGGAGUCUGAUUCUGAUAUUCCAAUUAGGGCAGAUGGCGGGAUAGGUCUCAUCCUGUAUUUUUUGUCAGAUUGCCCUCAAUUACACAUCCACCACUCUCCUUCACUCUGUUUGUCUCUCUCUUUCUUUCUAAUCUCUGUUUGGUUGCUUAGAAUAUUCAUUGCAAUUUGCUGGAUUAAGCUAAGCUGAUUCCAUGGUUUCUUUCUUUCCUUAGCAACCAGACGCAUUAUUAUUUGCAAUACAUUGGCUUCCUAACUUCAAUUAUUUGGAUCCCAAAGGAUGACAAGGUUCUCGCCUUUCAAGAUAUCAAACCUGCUGCUUUCAGGCAUUACUUGAUGAGCACAUUCCAACUGUUAGGAAUCUCUGGAGGAAAGAAGAAGAUUACACUUUGGGUAAAGAAAUUUUAAACGCAUCAAUUCAUGUGGUUUGAAAUUUGAACUAGUGAGAGAAUUCUUCUUUCGUUUUUUUGUCUAUGGCUAAUGUUUUAUCCUGCUAUUUUAUAGUAAACCACAUGUUAAGUAUAGGCCAAAUGCUAUUAUGCUGAGACGCUCCUCAAUCGAAACAGCACAGGUAUCUAUUCUUGUGCAUAAAAGUGUGUUUACUAAAUUCUAUAUUACUUUUGAUUGAGAUAAGCUCUUUUUAUAAGAUCAUCCAAAAAUGGAGUUUAUGCAACAGAAAUUGGAGUUGAAGUAGGAAAUAAAUAACUUGCAUAUUCUUGAUAUAGAUAAUCUUUUUAUCCGCAUAAAUGGUCUUAGGUUUGAGCGACCGUUUUCAAAAAUCAUGCAGCUCUAGGAUAAAAUUAUUGUAGUUAGUUUCUAAUGCUCACUUCUUGUAUUGUUGGGUUUUCCAUCUCUUCAAUGCUUUUUUCGACUAAUUCCAUAGUUUAUUCUAAUCAAUCAGGACUAGUUUGAAUACAGAAUUUUCUGGUGAAGCAGGUGGCUUGUACAUGCAUGUGUUUUGUAGUGUGGACUACAUCCAAUCAUUGAAGGAUUGAAAUCAGUUUAUGCAUUUUCAGGCAGACUUAUGUUUUAUGACCCAACGCUAUAGAUGAUUUUUAGAUUUCCUAGUGAGCCCUUUGUAUUCUCAUAUGCAAGAUAUAAAUUACAUGAGCCUGAGUGAGUGAACUUUUUGGUUCCUCUUUUUGGUGGGGUGGGUAAGGGGGAGGAGUAAGAAUCAAGAAUAAUGUACUGCUUAAUUCAUACACAAAUUGGCCAGGUGUGCUAUGAGCUCUCUGCAACUUUUACUUUUUUCUCAACCUUUUUUGCACAAAAAUUUUUCUAAUGCAAGUUUAAUUGGAAAAUUUCUCCUGCCCGUUUGACGGAUUUGGCUUUCAUCAGCCUCCAUUGAACAGUGUUGACCAUUUACACCUCCAUUGUCUGGCAUUACCCUUCAAACCCAGAUGGAAACAUAUAAAAUACCUGUCUUCUGGACCACUUGGGUUUGUUGAAUCUGAGAAGUUGCUGGAGAAGAUAAAUCCCACAUAACCACUUACAACUUAGGAAGUGCAUCCAUAAAUAUCGUACCUUACACUCUUCAUUGGUACUUCUGCUUCAGGUAAAAUACUUGAUGCUAUUAAAUCCUAUGGUCCACAAGAUGAAUGCUAAAAACCAUUGCUAAGAAAGGCUCAACCAAUUUUUUAAUAGUUAAAAUGUUGAUACCCCCCUGAGCUUUUUGAAAAACUGAAUUUUCUUACUUUUGGGUUGGCCUAUAUCAUA